rnacentral:rRNA from 1 species
GAUGAACGCUAGCUACAGGCUUAACACAUGCAAGUCGAGGGGAAACGGCAUCGAAAGCUUGCUUUUGAUGGGCGUCGACCGGCGCACGGGUGAGUAACGCGUAUCCAACCUGCCCAUCACUUGGGAAUAACCUUGCGAAAGUAAGACUAAUGCCCAAUGACAUCCCACGAAGGCAUCCGAAUGGGAUUAAAGAUUUAUCGGUGAUGGAUGGGGAUGCGUCUGAUUAGCUUGUUGGCGGGGUGACGGCCCACCAAGGCAACGAUCAGUAGGGGUUCUGAGAGGAAGGUCCCCCACAUUGGAACUGAGACACGGUCCAAACUCCUACGGGAGGCAGCAGUGAGGAAUAUUGGUCAAUGGGCGAGAGCCUGAACCAGCCAAGUAGCGUGCAGGAUGACGGCCCUAUGGGUUGUAAACUGCUUUUAUAAGGGAAUAAAGUGGGUCACGUGUGACUUUUUGCAUGUACCUUAUGAAUAAGGGCCGGCUAAUUCCGUG